rnacentral:other from 1 species
AGAGUCCUGAGGUGUACGUAGAACACUGUACGUUUUGAGCCAACACCUAUACAUCGGGAGCCUGAUGUUUUCAUCGAAAGUGCAUGCCUCUGCGAAGUGGAAGCACGGACGAUGAAGCAGGGCACCCACCUGCGAGAGCAGGCUUCAAAACAAAGUUAGUUUAACGGCACUACGGGACUCUU